CCAGAGAACUUAGCAGAGAUGCUUUGGUGCUUCGGGAACUCUGAGACAGGUGCUGCAUGGCUGUCGUCAGCUCGUGUUGUGAAAUGUUGGGUUAAGUCCCGCAACGAGCGCAACCCUUAUCCUUUGUUGCCAGCGGCUCGGCCGGGAACUCAAAGGAGACUGCCGGUGAUAAACCGGAGGAAGGUGGGGAUGACGUCAAGUCAUCAUGGCCCUUACGGCCAGGGCUACACACGUGCUACAAUGGCGCAUACAAAGAGAAGCGACCUCGCGAGAGCAAGCGGACCUCAUAAAGUGCGUCGUAGUCCGGAUUGGAGUCUGCAACUCGACUCCAUGAAGUCGGAAUCGCUAGUAAUCGUAGAUCAGAAUGCUACGGUGAAUACGUUCCCGGGCCUUGUACACACCGCCCGUCACACCAUGGGAGUGGGUUGCAAAAGAAGUAGGUAGCUUAACCUUCGGGAGGGCGCUUACCACUUUGUGAUUCAUGACUGGGGUGAAGUCGUAACAAGGUAGGCGUAGCGAG
rnacentral:rRNA from 1 species